GGACUCUAAGGAAGGACAAAAUAAAGGACCUAAGGAAGGACUAAGGGAGUCAAGACUUAUACAGGAAGUGAGGGAGGAAUGUUUUAAAUCUCAAAUGCAGAAAAGCUAGAUCUUUUUU